rnacentral:rRNA from 1 species
CCCUUAGAUGUUCUGGGCCGCACGCGCGCUACACUGACGAAUGCAACGAGCUUAUAACCUUGGCCGAAAGGUCUGGGUAAUCUCCAAAUUUCGUCGUGAUGGGGAUAGAUUAUUGCAAUUAUUAAUCUUCAACGAGGAAUGCCUAGUAAGCGCAAGUCAUCAGCUUGCGUUGAUUACGUCCCUGCCCUUUGUACACACCGCCCGUCGCUCCUACCGAUUGAAUGGUCCGGUGAAGCGCUCGGACCGCGGCCUCUUGACGGUUUUCCGUCGAUUGGCUGUGAGAAGUUCGUUAAACCUUAUCAUUUAGAGGAAGGAGAAGUCGUAACA